UCACUCUGUCACCAGUCAUCCCUUCCUUCCCUCACUCUGCCACUAUUCAUCCCUUCCCUCACUCUGUCACCAGUCAUCCCCUCACACUGUCACUGUGAAGGAAGGAAGGGGUGACUGGUGACAGAGUGAGGGAAUGACUGGUGACAGAGUGAGAGAGGGGGUGACUAGUGACCGAGUGAGGGAGGGAGAGGGUGACUAGUGACAGAGUGAGGAAGGGGGUGACACAGUGAUAGUCACCCCAUUCUUCCCUCUGUCACUAAUCACCACCUCCCUCACUCUCACUAGUCACCCCAUCCCUCCCUCACUCUGUCACUAGUCACACCCUCCCUCUCUCUGUCACUAGUCACACCCUUACUCACUGUCACUAGUCACACCCUCCCUCUCUCUGUCACUAGAGUGA